AAACCGUUCGGGGGUAAACGGACAGAGCCCGUGAAUCCGGGCGGUGGAAUUCAGAAUCGGCGGCGUUCGCGCGUUGUCGGUUCGAUAUUUCCGUCGCCUUUAUUUUACGGACGUCGCGACCCGUUCGGUGUCGGUCUGAGGAGAUGUGAAAAAGUUUGACGGCGCGUUGUCGAAUCGUUUCGGCGGUUAGGCGCGCGUCGUUGAGUUCGCGUUUUUAUUUCUGGCCGACUCGCCGGACGGUAGGUGUAACGGUGGCCGCGGCGACUUCGCGUCGUCGACGGUACCGGUCUGCGACGAAUCUUCGGGCCUCUUUCCGA
rnacentral:rRNA from 1 species